rnacentral:tRNA from 1 species
GGUUAUAGCUCAGUGGUAGAGCACUUGCCUAGCAUGUGUGAAGCACUGGGUUCGAUUCUCAGCACCA